GGGGAUGAUCGGUUUCGACAGCGAAUGUUGAAGCAGGGGAAGCGAGCCGAGGAAGCGGUAAUGAUCUCGUUAACCAUAUGCCGCAAAAAAAUAAUCGCCAAUACCAAGCGCGAUUCCUUCGCCCUCGCUGCCUGAGCAGCGAGCGUGAGGUGUCAGUCCGGGCUUGUUCCCGUCCCGGGUCCUGGCAUCAGCUAGGGGACUCACCGUCCACUCCGGUCACGGGGGUGUACGGGACAACAAACAGUGACUGAGCCCGUCGGAGACUUGUCCGCGUGAUCUCCGGGGCCGAGAAACUCGUAGCGGACUGCGCUCGGAGAAGCCCUCCUUCUGCUUCGUUGGACGCGGGUUCGAUUCCCGCCAUCUCCACUG
rnacentral:tmRNA from 1 species